ACACUCUUCUUCCGUGGUCCACACACGGAAACCCAGUCUCACGGCAGUUCGUGAUUUUGUCACGUAAUUUAAUCUAUUUAUUCGUGGCAGGCACACGUUUAUUUCCUUAUUUUCAUGAUUGCAGCACGUUUUUUUAAACUAAUGCAUUUCAACUGGAGGCAUCUUUCGUGCAUCAGCACAAUAUUUUCUGAUUAAUUAUUAUUAUUAUUUAAUUUUUCACAGGACAACAGAAGAAACUCACUGAAACUUGAAAAAAAAAAUCGGAGCUUAACUUGCUGUACAAAACUGAGCAACAUACUGUAUUGCUGGUGACAAAAACACAUGAAAACUUUUUUAGCUGUAAAAUGCGCAAUGGUUCUUUUUUUACUUUUUCAUUGAUUUUUAUUUUUUUCAUAGGCCUAGAUUAAUUUUUUUUUUUUAUUACAGAAUUCAAUAUCAAGUCCUUGACACAUAACUGUAACACAUUUUUACAUUAAGAAACAAUUUAGUUUAAAUAAAAAGAACAAAAAAAAAAAAAAAAUAAAAAAAAAAAAUUAUUUAUUAGCGAUAGGCCUACAGAUUUAUUAAGAGUUUUUAUUAAGGCUAUUGUAAAGGAUUCUUAAAAAUGCUGUCGCUGAUGAGCCUCUGAUCGCUGUCAGAUUCUGUGAUAUGAAUGUCCGCUAAUGGGUUUAGAAUGAGCCCCGCUCGGCCCGUGUUCUGGCUUACUGUAAUAUUUCACCUGUAAUAAGACCGAAAUAAUAUAAUUAAAAUAAAGAAAUUAAUGAAUACAUGAUAACAUCUAAAUAAAUGUUGAUAGAUUUAGCGUUAUAGUUUUAAAAAUAUUAAUAAACAGCAAAUCAACACAGCUUCGAAAUAAUAACCGAGAAAGACCUAAAUAAUAAUAAUACAUAAUUAAUAAACAGCGCCGCCCCUCCCACUACGCGCAUCACGCGCUGUGCGUCAACCCCAAAGCGUCAAAAACUGAAGCGUGGUCAAGCGCCUCUAGCGUCACUGACAUGAGAUGUUUAUCGCUUUGAAAUCACGUUCAAGAAGUCUCAUUCAGCACACAUCGCGAUACUUUCCAUCAGUUUACAAGAGCCGCAGGUUGGGUGAGUUAUACAGUCUAUGGUGAGUAGUAGUAAAUAUGCUCUUUUAAUGCCUGUCCUAAAACGUAUUCUGUCUUCUUUAUUAAUCAGAUGAGCGCCUUAUGUUUACUCUCUGUAUUACAUCAGGCUGAGGCUGUCUUUGAGUUUCAUUGUGUUUAACUAAAUGAACACAGCUGCUAACUGGUUAAACUCUAUCGGUCACGUGACGUGACGUGACGUGCCACAGACCUGGGAUCGUUUUAUAUUCAUUUCAGGUUCAAAGAUCUGAAAAGACGUAAAGUAAGCAGUCACCCCAGUGGUGUUUGUGGAGAGGUAUUCCUUCAGAAAUGGAGAAGACAGAAAGCUGCAGAGGCAGGAUUGUUUCCAGAUAACACUGUAGUUCUCCGUCAUGCACAAGGACUCACCUCUUUAACUCUUUAACCCCCCCCCCACACACACACACACAGAAAUGGUUCCUGGAUCAGUGACUCAAGACUUUGCAGUGGUUUGAUUUCUGCAGAAGAUGUAACUUUGUUUUAAUUAACCUUAUAAUGAAUACAUUGUGACCUUCCAGCAACCCAUAUACUGUACUGUAUACAGAACCAGUGAUGACAACAAUAGUUAAAAAAUAGCAUUUAUCAUAUUGAUAAAGCAUUGUGUUCUCUUUGUCAAGCUUCAUACAGUAAACUUUACUUCUGGUGCUUUUAUCAUAAAAAAGCUUCAGUUCUGAUCAGGAGUUUUAGUAAAGGACAUAUUCAUGCACAGCAAUCCCCUAGUUCCAGUCAUGAAGUGAAUGAUGUUAUUGUUAAAGUUAUAUUUCUGCAUUUUUAUGUAGCAGGUGUUUGUUUUCCUGAACACUUUAUCUUUCUUCCAUUGUUCGGACAAUCAGUGUUUACGUGAUGCUCUGCUGAUUGAGUUUUAUAGAUGAUAUUGCACACUUGACAUGCAUGUCUUCAUGAUGUUUUUUUGUGAGUUUGAAACAUUAAGUGUUGUAUCACUUUUUGGUCAAUAGAAUCUUUUAAGAAAAUGUAUAUUUUUACGGUGUUCUCUGAAAGAUAUAUACCAUAUUUAUAAUGUUUUGUUUUUUAAUAAAAGAAUUUGCACACUGAAAAUUG